rnacentral:rRNA from 1 species
UACGUAGGGUCCGAGCGUUGUCCGGAAUUACUGGGCGUAAAGAGUGUGUAGGCGGUGCUCCAAGUCUGGUGUGAAAUCUCCCGGCUCAACUGGGAGGGUGCGCUAGAAACUGGAAUGCUAGAGGAUGGGAGAGGUAAGCGGAAUUCCUGGUGUAGCGGUGGAAUGCGCAGAUAUCAGGAGGAACACCGGUGGCGAAGGCGGGUCUCUGGGCAGUAACUGACGCUGAGGAGCGAAAGCGUGGGGGAGCGAACAGG